GGCUAUCUAACGAAUGCACUCAUUCGGACCCUCUCGGGGAGAGAGUUUAUAAUCGAAGCAAUAAAAUCGAUGAUGUAAUCGGGCACGAUGACUGACUCCCCCCGAUCGGAGUCGGGUCGUGACCUUCUGGCCCGUCUGGCGCCGCGACCAGACCUGACGUUGGUGCUCUCAGAGCUGUGGAGCCAGUUCCCCGUCCCAGGAGACAUUAUAGAGAUCAGCGGCCCCAGCGGCUCGGGGAAGACGCAGCUGGUGCAGGAGUGUGUGGCGGCGGCGCUGGCGUGCGACAGUACCUCAGGCGUGGUGCUGUUGGAC